AUUGAACGCUGGCGGCAGGCCUAACACAUGCAAGUCGAGCGGAUGAAGGGAGCUUGCUCCUGGAUUCAGCGGCGGACGGGUGAGUAAUGCCUAGGAAUCUGCCUGGUAGUGGGGGAUAACGUCCGGAAACGGGCGCUAAUACCGCAUACGUCCUGAGGGAGAAAGGGGGGGCUCUUCGGACCUCACGCUAUCAGAUGAGCCUAGGUCGGAUUAACUAGUUGGUGGGGUAAAGGCCUACCAAGGCGACGGUCCGUAACUGGUCUGAGAGGAUGAUCAGUCACACUGGAACUGAGACACGGUCCAGACGCCUACGGGAGGCAGCAGUGGGGAAUAUUGGACGAUGGGCGAAAGCCUGAUCCAGCCAUGCCGCGUGUGUGAAGAAGGUCUUCGGAUUGUAAAGCACUUUAAGUUGGGAGGAAGGGCAGUAAGUUAAGACCUGGCUGUUUUGACGGUACCAACAGAAUAAGCACCGGCUAACUUCGUG
rnacentral:rRNA from 1 species